GCCAGUAGCCAUAUCACUCUGCAACUCACAACUGGCAACCAACUGAAGCCGGUGUGAGCCUGGUCAGUACAUGGAUGGGAGACCUCCUGGGAAAAACUAAGGUUACUGCUGGAA
rnacentral:rRNA from 1 species